rnacentral:rRNA from 1 species
AUUGAACGCUGGCGGCAGGCCUAACACAUGCAAGUCGAACGAGUGGCGGACGGGUGAGUAAUGUCUGGGAAACUGCCCGAUGGAGGGGGAUAACUACUGGAAACGGUAGCUAAUACCGCAUACCAUCGGAUGUGCCCAGGUGGGAUUAGCUAGUAGGUGGGGUAACGGCUCACCUAGGCGACGAUCCCUAGCUGGUCUGAGAGGAUGACCGGCCACACGGGAACUGAGACACGGUCCAGACUCCUACGGGAGGCAGCAGUGGGGAAUAUUGCGCAAUGGGCGAAAGCCUGAUGGAGCCAUGCCGCGUGUAUGAAGAAGGCCUUCGGGUUGUAAAGUACUUUCAGCGGGGAGGCGGUACUCGCAGAAGAAGCACCGGCUAACUCCGUGCCAGCAGCCGCGGUAAUUC